UACGUAGGGGGCUAGCGUUGUCCGGAAUCAUUGGGCGUAAAGAGCGUGUAGGCGGCCCGGCAAGUCCGCUGUGAAAGUCGGGGGCUCAACCCUCGAAUGCCGGUGGAUACUGUCGGGCUAGAGUGCGGAAGAGGCGAGUGGAAUUCCUGGUGUAGCGGUGAAAUGCGCAGAUAUCAGGAGGAACACCGAUUGCGAAGGCAGCUCGCUGGGACGUCACUGACGCUGAGACGCGAAAGCGUGGGGAGCAAACAGG
rnacentral:rRNA from 1 species